rnacentral:tRNA from 1 species
GCGGUCGUGGCGGAAUUGGCAGACGCGCACGGUUCAGGUCCGUGUGGGAAACCAUGGGGGUUCGAAUCCCUUCGACCGCACCA